CACCCGACCAUGGUCGGACUGAUAGUAGACACCCGACCAUAUUGUUAUUAAAUGCACGGCGAUUUGUAUUUGAAUUUGCAUAAAUUUUCAAUUUAAACCGACCUUGAACAUUUAUUUAUGUAAGAGUCACUUCUGAUGGCACUAAGUUAGAGAUUUCCCAAAUUAAUGAGACACAUAACCACGAGACGUCUGAGUUAUUGUUUUCAAACUUGCCAAAUCAGCGCCGCUUGGAACCACAGAUGAAAGCUAAUGUACUUGAAAUGAUGGAAAUUAAAGCAAUUAA